rnacentral:rRNA from 1 species
ACCAACAGGGAUUACCUCAGUAACGGCGAGUGAAGCGGUAACAGCUCAAAUUUGAAAUCUGGCUCUUUCAGGGUCCGAGUUGUAAUUUGUAGAAGAUGCUUCGGGUGUGGCUCCGGUCUAAGUUCCUUGGAACAGGACGUCAUAGAGGGUGAGAAUCCCGUAUGUGACUGGUUGCCUUCGCCCAUGUGAAGCUCUUUCGACGAGUCGAGUUGUUUGGGAAUGCAGCUCUAAAUGGGAGGUAUAUUUCUUCUAAAGCUAAAUAUUGGCCAGAGACCGAUAGCGCACAAGUAGAGUGAUCGAAAGAUGAAAAGCACUUUGGAAAGAGAGUUAAACAGUACGUGAAAUUGUUGAAAGGGAAGCGCUUGCAACCAGACUUGCACGCCGUCGAUCAUCCUGGGUUCUCCCUGGUGCACUCGGCGGCGUUCAGGCCAGCAUCGGUUUCGGUGGUUGGAUAAAGGCCUUGGGAAUGUGGCUCCUCUCGGGGAGUGUUAUAGCCCUCGGUGCAAUGCAGCCUACCGGGACCGAGGACCGCGCUUCGGCUAGGAUGCUGGCGUAAUGGUUGUAAGCGACCCGUCUUGAAACACGGACCAAGGAGUCUAACAUCUAUGCGAGUGUUUGGGUGUCAAACCCAUACGCGUAAUUAACGUGAACGGAGGUGAGAACCCUUUAGGGUGCAUCAUCGACCGAUCCUGAUGUCUUCGGAUGGAUUUGAGUAAGAGCAUAGCUGUUGGGACCCGAAAGAUGGUGAACUAUGCCUAAAUAGGGUGAAGCCAGAGGAAACUCUGGUGGAGGCUCGCAGCGGUUCUGACGUGCAAAUCGAUCGUCAAAUUUGGGUAUAGGGGCGAAAGACUAAUCGAACCAUCUAGUAGCUGGUUCCUGC